AGGAAAUCUCAGAUGGUUGUCUACAGUUACAAGGGGGAUUUUUGGACUGAUUUGUGAUUUUUCUGGGAAUGCAACUCAAGUUAGAAGAGGCCAUUAUCUGAAAGAAGAAGAAGCACCAGCUGAUGUGUUGGUUAUUUUAGGGCGACAUUUGCAGUUGCUUGGGCAAUAUCAUGAGCCUCACCUCAUGCAGGGUCUGGGUCCCAGACCCAAAGACUG
rnacentral:lncRNA from 1 species